rnacentral:rRNA from 1 species
AACGAACGCUGGCGGCAGGCCUAACACAUGCAAGUCGAGCGCCCUUUCGGGGGAGCGGCGGACGGGUGAGUAACGCGUGGGAAUAUGCCCUUCUCUACGGAAUAGCCUCGGGAAACUGAGAGUAAUACCGUAUACGCCCUGUGGGGGAAAGAUUUAUCGGGGAAGGAUUAGCCCGCGUUGGAUUAGGUAGUUGGUGGGGUAAUGGCCUACCAAGCCGACGAUCCAUAGCUGGUUUGAGAGGAUGAUCAGCCACACUGGGACUGAGACACGGCCCAGACUCCUACGGGAGGCAGCAGUGGGGAAUCUUAGACAAUGGGGGCAACCCUGAUCGAGCCAUGCCGCGUGAGUGAUGAAGGCCUUAGGGUUGUAAAGCUCUUUCAGCUGGGAAGAUAAUGACGGUACCAGCAGAAGAAGCCCCGGCUAACUACGUG